rnacentral:lncRNA from 1 species
CCUAGUAGUACUGCCGAGAUGUCUGCAAUGGAAAAAAUGUGGCAGGAGUCGGUACCUUGUAAAAUAAGAGCAAAACGAGGUUGUGCUACUCACCCACGUAGCAUCGCGGAAAGGGUAAUGCCUAAAGUCUAAUUCUCUAUUGUCAUUAUAAGUGAGAAACAUUCUUAUAUUCUGUCAUUAUUAUGACCAUUUGGCAAACAGAAGUGGACUUACUGGUUUUUAAUGUCAACAAAAAUAUGGAAUCCACACUUUUGAUCAAUAAAUUGUACUUGAAAAUUUUAUGUAAUUGUUAUAGGUGAGAAGAACACGAAUUAGUGAACGGAUGAGGAAGCUACAAGAACUUGUUCCCAAUAUGGAAAGGGUAAAGUCGUUGAUUACAGAAUUAUUUGUGAAUCUAUAUAAUGUCCAAUUCUUUUUUCUUCUUUUUUUUGAGGUUGUACUUAAUUUUGCAGCAAACGAAUACAUCAGAUAUGUUAGAUUUGGCUGUUGAUUAUAUUAAGGAUCUUCAGACACAAGUAAAGGUAUAAAUCUUAAAAGCUUGAAUUGCAGUGGACACAAUCCCUUGGCAUCAAUAACUUCCACUUCUGGAUCCUUGUUAGUGACGCUUUGCUUUUCUCUUUGACUUUUUAGACCCUUUCAGAUAAGCAUGCAAAGUGCUCUUGCUCAGCUAAACUAAAGUCAUAGACAAAAGGCCCCAGCUGUAGGACUUCAUCCCGAAAGAACAAAAGGAGUCUAAAACAGAGAGGUACUUGAUUUUCUCCAGCACCUUUCGGAAAAGAAGUUAUUAGGUUAGCAUUUUGAUGGGGGUGAAGAAUAGAGAGGCCUAAACUGAUGUAUUAUAGAACCAAUAAUGGAUUGUUCAAGGAGUAUGGUUCAAAACUGAAUAAUGUUGAAAAAGAAAGAAGCCAUUGUACUUUCAUACCAAACUUAUGUAUUUGUGUAUAAUAUUUAUGUGGCUUCUUAUGCUUCGGUUGAGGAACUCGACCAACUCUUUCAUAACAAAUGAGUCUAAUGAUGAAAAGCGUUUAGUUUGAUGCUCUCCUUUUAACUUUCUUUGUACUUUAGGAAUGUUAUCCAGAAAUUCUUCAAUAUCCUUAUGAUUGCAGACAAAAAUUGAAAAGAAAAAAGUGAUAUAUUAUGUUUGAAUUUAGUGGGCUGCAUUCAUUAGCUAUAUUUAAAGCUAAAAAUGAUUUCUUCUGCAAUUUCCUUUUGUCUUUUUGCUGAUAUUAUGUUGAUGUUAGCCUCUAGGAAACAACUUUAGAUCAUUAAACCCUUUGUGAUGUGCUUCAACUGCCAUUAGCUACCCAGAAUCAAUUCUUUUGCGGUCCAAAUAAAGGUGAAAGAUUUUUCUUCUUCAUGUUCCCAAGUUUGAAUGUUUUGUUGUAAAAGCGGGCUGUAUAAUACUGAACAAUUGAAUGAUAGUCAGAGGUAGGAUUCUGUCAUUCUACUUGUGUGGAGUGGUCCAGUAUUAAGUGGCCUUUUGAAAGAUAUGUCCCUUGAGUUAGAAAAGUAUAUUCUGAAUGUUGUGACCAUUAUAAGUUGGGCCCAUCUAUCAGUUUGUCUAGUUCUAUAAUGCUUUCCACUUGUAUCCCAUUUACCUUACCUUUUUCUUAAGUUUCAUUCAUAGUAUGCAGCAAUCAUGCUCGAUAAUAAUAAUUAUAUGUGUAUUGGGAAAGAAGAACCUGUGAAAUCGAUUAUGCAUCAUCCGAUUUUGGUGAUGAACCUACCGGUUCUAAGCUUCUUUUAAUGAGUUUUACAAUAUCAAUUUUUUCCACGUAAUUGGAUUAGUAUAACGAUUUCACUAGUCGAACCUAUUUUGGUGUAGUUCUUACAACAUUGGUGGUGACUAACUAUAUUUCGUAGUUCCAUACACAGCUCUUGCACGAUGCAUGAGUUGAGUUAUUAGACUAUACCAACUUCGUGAUUCAUAUUCGUCGGGUCAUUUGUUAUCGUAUAUAUUUGAGUUGUGUCUUUACUUGACCCUGACAUUUAUGAUAUAAUUUUAUUUUGCCCUUUUCUUCUAUUUUUCAAGGAAAAACGAAAAUGUAUCUAUCAUAGUUGCGUGGCAGUUCGGGACUCCGACUGGUGACAGGGUUUAGGCAUAAUAGUAAAAACGUUUUCUCAAUGCUAGUGGGCUCUCAACCACCCACAUAAAAGCACCUUUCCAUGAGAAAGAACAACGAUGCCGAGCAGAAUUCUGAAGAUGGAAAUCGUCCCACUACUCUAUUGUCCCACCAUCUAAGUUUGCCUAGUAGUACUGCCGAGAUGUCUGCAAUGGAAAAAAUGUGGCAGGAGUCGGUACCUUGUAAAAUAAGAGCAAAACGAGGUUGUGCUACUCACCCACGUAGCAUCGCGGAAAGGGUAAUGCCUAAAGUCUAAUUCUCUAUUGUCAUUAUAAGUGAGAAACAUUCUUAUAUUCUGUCAUUAUUAUGACCAUUUGGCAAACAGAAGUGGACUUACUGGUUUU